rnacentral:rRNA from 1 species
UGGGGAAUAUUGCACAAUGGGCGCAAGCCUGAUGCAGCCAUGCCGCGUGUAUGAAGAAGGCCUUCGGGUUGUAAAGUACUUUCAGCGAGGAGGAAGGCGGUAAGGUUAAUAACCUUAUCGAUUGACGUUACUCGCAGAAGAAGCACCGGCUAACUCCGUGCCAGCAGCCGCGGUAAUACGGAGGGUGCAAGCGUUAAUCGGAAUUACUGGGCGUAAAGCGCACGCAGGCGGUCUGUCAAGUCGGAUGUGAAAUCCCCGGGCUCAACCUGGGAACUGCAUUCGAAACUGGCAGGCUAGAGUCUUGUAGAGGGGGGUAGAAUUCCAGGUGUAGCGGUGAAAUGCGUAGAGAUCUGGAGGAAUACCGGUGGCGAAGGCG